UAGAGGAAGUAAAAGUCGUAACAAGGUUUCCGUAGGUGAACCUGCGGAAGGAUCAUUAGUGAUAUAGAAAAUCUAUUUUUCUAGUCAACUAUUAUACCCUUUUGUCAACCAUACCAUUGUUGCUUCCACUGGACAGACUUCGGUCCUCUGGCUCACUGCAAGGUGAAGCUGGGGAGUGCUGGUGGAAAGAUUUUAAAACUCGUCUUUAGAAAAACUUGUCUGACAAACUUAUUUUUUAAUAAAAUAAAACUUUCAACAACGGAUCUCUAGGCUCUUGCAUCGAUGAAGAACGCAGUGAAAUGCGAUAAGUAAUGUGAAUUGCAGAAUCUCGUGAAUCAUUGAAUCUUUGAACGCACAUUGCGCCCUAUGGUAUUCCGUAGGGCAUGCCUGUCUGAGCGUCAGCUCGUCUUCUCAAGCUCUUUUGCUUGGAUAACAUUGGGGAAGCAAUACACGGUCCAUCUGGGCUCUGUGUGCUCUCCAGAAAUUUAUAGGCGGUACGGUUCUAGCAAACCAGACGUAAUAAUUCUUUAUCUCGUCCUUUGUUUUGGAGCUGUUGCUUGCCUCUUAAUCCACAUCUUUUUUCAAGAUGACCUCAGAUCAGGUAGGGAUACCCGCUGAACUUAAGCAUAUCAA
rnacentral:rRNA from 1 species